GUGGACGCCAGUCUGCAUGGAGCCGACCUUGAAAUACCACCCUUUAAUGUUUGAUGUUCUAACGUGGACCCGUUACCCGGGUUGCGGACAGUGUCUGGUGGGUAGUUUGACUGGGGCGGUCUCCUCCUAAAGAGUAACGGAGGAGCACGAAGGUUGGCUAAUCCUGGUCGGACAUCAGGAGGUUAGUGCAAUGGCAUAAGCCAGCUUGACUGCGAGCGUGACGGCGCGAGCAGGUGCGAAAGCAGGUCAUAGUGAUCCGGUGGUUCUGAAUGGAAGGGCCAUCGCUCAACGGAUAAAAGGUACUCCGGGGAUAACAGGCUGAUACCGCCCAAGAGUUCAUAUCGACGGCGGUGUUUGGCACCUCGAUGUCGGCUCAUCACAUCCUGGGGCUGAAGUAGGUCCCAAGGGUAUGGC
rnacentral:rRNA from 1 species